rnacentral:sRNA from 1 species
CUUGGUCAUUUAGAGGAAGUAAAAGUCGUAACAAGGUUUCCGUAGGUGAACUGCGGAAGGAUCAUUAGUGAAUUGAAUAUGUUAGCGGACCUCUUCGGAGUCCCUAGCAUCAAAUCAUAUCCAUAACACCUGUGAACUGUAAGGCUGUCUUGAAAACGAAAGUGAUUAGAGCGCCUGCCCAUUUUAUACAAACAUUAAAGUAACAAACGUAGUCUUAUUAUAAUCUAAUAAAACUUUCAACAACGGAUCUCUUGGCUCUCGCAUCGAUGAAGAACGCAGCGAAAUGCGAUAAGUAAUGUGAAUUGCAGAAUUCAGUGAAUCAUCGAAUCUUUGAACGCACCUUGCGCUCUUUGGUAUUCCGAAGAGCAUGCCUGUUUGAGUGUCAUGAAAAUAUCAACCUUGACUUGGGUUUAGUGCUCUCGUCUUGGCUUGGAUUUGGCUGUUUGCCGCUCGAAAGAGUCGGCUCAGCUUAAAAGUAUUAGCUGGAUCUGUCUUUGAGACUUGGUUUGACUUGGCGUAAUAAGUUAUUUCGCUGAGGACAAUCUUCGGAUUGGCCGAGUUUCUGGGACGUUUGUCCGCUUUCUAAUACAAGUUCUAGCUUGCUAGACAUGACUUUUUUAUUAUCUGGCCUCAAAUCAGGUAGGACUACCCGCUGAACUUAAGCAUAUCAAUAAGCGGAGGAAAAGAAACUAACAAGGAUUCCCCUAGUAACGGCGAGUGAAGCGGGAAGAGCUCAAAUUUGAAAUCUGGUGGCCUCAGGCUAUCCGAGUUGUAAUCUAUAGAAACAUUUUCCGCGUUGGCCCAUGUACAAGUCUCUUGGAAUAGAGCGUCAUAGAGGGUGAGAAUCCCGUCCUUGACAUGGACUACCAGUGCUUUGUGAUAUGUUUUCAACGAGUCGAGUUGUUUGGGAAU